rnacentral:misc_RNA from 1 species
AAGUCGUAACAAGGUAACCGUAGGUGAACCUGCGGUUGGAUCAUUAAUAAUAUUAGAAAGGUCUUCAAGACCUUUCCUACAUUAUGUGAAUCGUUUAUUGUCUCUGGCGAGUUCUGCUCGCAUUAAACUUUGUAUUAAAUUAUUGUCUAAAAAGCUUUUUAUUAAAUUAAAAACAACUUUUAACAACGGAUCUCUAGGCUCUC